GACGAACGCUGGCGGCGUGCCUAAUGCAUGCAAGUCGCACGCACCUUUCGGGGUGAGUGGCGCACGGCUGAGGAACACGUGGGAAUCUGCCCAUUGGUGGGGGAUAACCCGGAGAAAUCCGAGCUAAUCCCGCAUACGCUCUGUGAAGAGGAAAGCGGCAACGCGCCGAUGGAGGAGCCCGCGGCCCAUCAGGUCGUUGGUGGGGUAACGGCCUACCAAGCCAAUGACGGGUAGCUGGUCUGAGAGGACAGACAGCCAGACUGGGACUGAGAACGGCCCAGACUCCUACGGGAGGCAGCAGCAAGGAAUUUUCGCAAUGGGCGCAAGCCUGAACGAGCAACGCCGCGUGUGGGAUGACGGCCUUCGGGUUGUAAACC
rnacentral:rRNA from 1 species